rnacentral:lncRNA from 1 species
AGCAUUCAAGUGGGAGGUUCCAAUAGAAGAACAAUGAUCUUUCCCUCUUUUUGAAAUGGAAAUAAACAGAAGGCUGGUAGUUGAUGAAGAAAAUGAAGAACAAUAUGUUCUUCCUUUUCUCUCUUUUUGUGAUAUUUAUUUAUUUACUUUUUCUUUCUUCACUUGAAUGCCACUUGAUUGUGCCUCUCCAUCCGUAAAUUCCUCUAAUCCGUUUCCAGCCGUUAGAUUAAAUCAUCUGUAUGUACAGAUGAUUUGGCAAGCUGUAUACAAGCCAUUUUAAACAGAACCAACUGACAGCCACGUGGACGACUCCUGUGGGCCAAUAACACAUGACGUGGCGUUUCCUCCGCUCCAUUCCUGUGGGCGAGGAGUCCAUGUGUCCUCGGUGGAUUUUUUUGUUGGACGAAACUGCGUCGUUUGGCUUCAAGUCGUUAAGUUAGUGUAUUA